UCGGUAGAUUACACCUUUAAAAAUAACAUAUUAAAAUUUCAAAUCGAUAUCUCAUAUAGUUUUUGAGUUAUAACAUUUUAAAGACCAGCCGCUCGGCAGCUAGAGAGUCCCAUUAGCUACGAGACGUACCUGAGGUAUUGUUCAGAGUCUACUGUCCCUUCCAGCCCCUAUAACACGAUUCCAGUUUCUAUUGUUGGCUCUCAGAUGUUCAAUCUAAUGGGAGUGAUAGUUGGACCUGCAGCAAGAGAUUUUGCGGCUCUUAAGGACAACACGAGAAUACGAAUCGCUGAUCAUCGCCAAAGGGCUUCUUCAAAAGAAGGUCGAUCCUCUCGAAGAAAAGCUUCUUCAGCUGAACAAGCCCUUUUCGAAGAAGAGGAAGGUGAAUUAUAUGGCCCUGGAAUAGCAGAUUAGCUAUUUCAUCCACGGAGAAGGCCGGAAUCACUGCAGCAGUGAAGGACCUUUUUUUUUCGCGCCGUUGGAGAUCGACGAUAACUUAAAAAAUAUUUAAUUUUUUUCUUCAAAAAUUUCACUAUAAAUUCUUAA
rnacentral:lncRNA from 1 species